UACGGGGGGGGUAAGCGUUGUUCGGAAUUACUGGGCGUAAAGGGCUCGUAGGCGGCCAACUAAGUCAGACGUGAAAUCCCUCAGCUUAACUGGGGAACUGCGUCUGAUACUGGAUGGCUUGGAUUCGGGAGAGGAAUGCGGAAUUCCAGGUGUAGCGGUGAAAUGCGUAGAUAUCAGGAGGAACACCGAUGGCGAAGGCAGGUCUCUGGGCCAUAACUGACGCUGAGAAGCGAAAGCAUGGGGAGCGAACAGG
rnacentral:rRNA from 1 species